GAUGAACGCUGGCGGUGUGCCUAAUACAUGCAAGUCGAGCGGACGGACGGUAAGCUCGCGCCUCUAAUGUUAGCGGCGGACGGGUGGGUAAGACGUGCAUAGCCUUCCUCUAAUACGGGGGUAACUUCGGGAAACCGUAGAUAAUACCAGAUAAUAUUUUGAACCGCUUGGUUCAGAAGUGAAUGACAGUCUUGCUGUCACUUAUAGAUGAAUCCGCGCUGCAUUAUCUAGUUGGUAAGGUAACGGCUUACCAAGGCAACGAUGCAUAGCCGACCUGAGAGGGUGAUCGGCCACACUGGAACUGAGACACGGUCCAGACUCCUACGGGAGGCAGCAGUAGGGAAUCUUCCGCAAUGGGCGAAAGCCUGACGGAGCAACGCCGCGUGAGUGAUGAAGGUCUUCGGAUCGUAAAACUCUGUUAUUAGGGAAGAACAUAUGUGUAAGUAACUGUGCACAUCUUGACGGUACCUAAUCAGAAAGCCACGGCUAACUACGUG
rnacentral:rRNA from 1 species